AUUGAACGCUGGCGGCAGGCCUAACACAUGCAAGUCGAACGAGUGGCGGACGGGUGAGUAAUGUCUGGGAAACUGCCUGAUGGAGGGGGAUAACUACUGGAAACGGUAGCUAAUACCGCAUACCAGCGGAUGUGACAAGAUGGGAUUAGCUAGUAGGUGGGGUAAAGGCUCACCUAGGCGACGAUCCCUAGCUGGUCUGAGAGGAUGACAAGACACACUGGACACGAGACACGUUCCAGACUCCGACGGGAGGCAGCAGGGGGUAAUAUGGCACAAUGGGCGCAAGCCUGAUGCAGCCAUGCCGCGGGUAUGAAGAAGGCCUUCGGGUUGUAAAGUACUUUCAGCGGGGAGGCGUUACCCGCAGAAGAAGCACCGGCUAACUCCGUGCCAGCAGCCGCGGUAAUAC
rnacentral:rRNA from 1 species